rnacentral:tRNA from 1 species
GUUAGCUUAGUGUAGCACUUUGCACGUCGGAUUUUCAAGCCAAAAGCGCUGGUUAUUAGUAGCUAACU